rnacentral:rRNA from 1 species
UACAGAGGGUGCAAGCGUUAUUCAGAAUUACUGGGCGUAAAGCGUGCGUAGACGGUUAUGUAAGUCGGAUGUGAAAGCCCCGGGCUCAACCUGGGAAUUGCAUUCGAGACUGCAUAGCUAGGAUGCGGAAGAGGGAAGUGGAAUUUCCGGUGUAGCGGUGAAAUGCGUAGAUAUCGGAAGGAACAUCAGUGGCGAAAGCGACUUCCUGGUCCAGCAUCGACGUUCAGGCACGAAAGCGUGGGGAGCAAACAGG